rnacentral:lncRNA from 1 species
GUUAAUAUCUACAGUUGUUUGAGAGCUGGCUAGUGAAGAUCUCACCAUAAAUAAGUAAUUCAUUAAUCGCAUAUUUUCGGCCUGCAGUUUUUCAUAUUCCUUGGUAAUACUGCCAUAUUUACCUUCUGCAAGGUAUUCCAAUAUAUCAGGCAAUGUAAAAGGAUCAUCACUAUUUGUGACUUUAUUUGUCUUCUGAAGACUGUUUCCAAGGAUACACGGCA